UACGGGGGGGGCAAGCGUUGUUCGGAAUUACUGGGCGUAAAGGGCUCGUAGGUGGCCAACUAAGUCAGACGUGAAAUCCCUCGGCUUAACCGGGGAACUGCGUCUGAUACUGGAUGGCUUGAGAUUGGGAGAGGGAUGCGGAAUUCCAGGUGUAGCGGUGAAAUGCGUAGAUAUCUGGAGGAACACCGGUGGCGAAGGCGGCAUCCUGGACCAACACUGACGCUGAGGAGCGAAAGCCAGGGGAG
rnacentral:rRNA from 1 species